AACAAACAGGGAAACAUGAAGUUGAAGUUUAACUUCCCUAGAUUGAUUCACAAUCUAUUUCAUCUCUAUAACCAACUUCAAUAACACCAGCAGAACUAUGACACACGAGUAGACACGCUUCUCUGAUAAAAAAAAAAAAAUGCUGGUUUAUUGUUAAACUUCAGUGGAAACCACAAACGUUUAAUUAACUGCACAUAACUUCCCUGCAGAGAAAUUCUUCCUCAAAAUGAAAUAUGUCUGUUACAUACAUAAUACUAUCUAAAAUUACCAGAAAACACUAUUUAAAUUUCUUUUUUUUUGUUGUUGUUGUUUUGAUUUUAUUUUUGUUUUAAAGUCUGGGAAAUAUCACAUUUAUCGUGAAAUAAAAAGUUAGAUUUUGAGAAUUUCCUAAACCUUUUCUGAAGUGUAAGCCAUCAUGGGAAAAAGCCGUUUUUCUUCCGAAUUUGAUAUCUGUAGCCACAAUCAAAUGAUACCAUCACAGGAAGAAGAUCUUGUUCUGCUUAUUUUUGCAAAGUUUGGCAUGUACUCAUUCUAUGCAAACACAAAGGUAAUAGGAUGAACUCUUCUGUUAAUUUUUCUGUAAAAUUCAAGACCAGUUUGAGGCAAGCUGGCAAAAAAGCUACAAGUUUGAAAAGUAAAUUCACCCUCAGUGCUAACAUAUAGGAUUCAUGACAGUGAGACAUUUUCUCAAAAGGCAAAUUGAGUGCUUCUGUUGACGACCACAAACAUAUUAGCAAACCAAAACCACACAGUCGAGGUAAACAAGCAGAAAAACUGGCAAGACUUAAUUCUGCAGUGUCUGCAGAAGACGAGACCUGGAGUUCACAUUUUUAAGAGUUUUAUUUCUACUAGCAUGUUAAAACUAUGAAAAUCCAUUGCUUUUACAUAAAGUUUUCCAUAAACCUUCUGAAUACGCUGUUCAGAGGAAAUUAGAAAAAUGAAAAGUAAAAUUAAACAGAAAAACGUGCAAGGAGACACAGCUACGAUGCUUGUUAACAGGAAAUAUUUUAAUCAUAGCUACAGAAUAUUUCGUCUAGUCCUGCAUUAUAAUCAGUGAACAAUCCAAAAGCCAUUCUCUUGCAUGGGUGUGGCUGCUGGUGUGUGCUUUGCAGAUCAUUUCUUCAUCAGACUCAAGUGUUUUGCUUUAUACAUUGCCACCUUCUGCUUAACUAGUGGAAGUUCAAAUAAAGCCAGGCAAGUAUUUUGUCAACAUGAGACCUUCGCAGGUUAAAAUCAUUCUGAAGACAUAAAUGGACAACUAAUUAUGAAUAAAACUGCCAAAAUGUUUAAAUAAGUCAUUUAUCUACUGAUAUUGACAUAAUGUAUCACUGUCUACAUUAAUGUAAGUCUCCCUGUGCAUGUGUGGGUCCUUCCUGGUUACUCCAGGUUCCCUCCUCAGUCCAAAAACAUUAGUUUAAUUGCCCUUAAAUAUGAAUGGGGGUGUGUGUGUGUGAAUGUUUGUUUGUCCUAUAGAUAGCUGAUGGAUGCAUUAAUUGCUCAAUAGUUUGAUUUGCAGUUAGUGACUUUUUACUUAGUAAAGCAGUGCAUGAUAGAAGAAUCUACAGAUAGGAAGGUGGAGAUAAUAUUUAUAUUCUGAAUGUUGCUCAGUGAAUGAUGGGUAGAUGUAGUAAAAGCUGCAUGUGCUAAGAAAAAUAAAGAUUUACAGCUGCAGAAAGGUUCAAAACAAAAGAAAUUAACAUAUCAGAUAUCUGGAUGCUCAAAAAAAAGAGCUUCAUUUGCAGAAGCCUGUUUUUUAUCUUUCAUUGUCAUCAAAGACCUAGAUUGUUGUAACUAGGCCUUUUUGUCAUUGAUGACUCAUUUCCGUUUAGUGCUUUUUGAAGUUUUCUGUGAACUUUUGAUGCCACAAUGCACAGGUAGCUGGGGGAAAUAUGGAGGGCGUAGAGAGUGGAGAUAAAUAGAUGAAUGAGGGAUGAAUGAGACAGGUGCACCAAGAGAGCACAAGCUGGGGUGAUUGGGGCAAAUACUUUCAUUAAAGUUAGUUGCUGUUGAUUUAUUCCUGUCUUUUUAAAAUAAUUUUAUUGUUUUCUAUAAUUGUGCCAGUAAAUAACUUUUCACCUACAUAUUUCCAACCGAGUAGACAAAACUGCUUGAGAAUCUAUUAGAAAUAUGUUUGUAACAUUGGAAAUAUAACGUUUUUCAUUUAUUGCAUAACAUAAGCCUACUUAUAUGAGCUGUAUGCAGUUAUCUGUAUUAGCAUAAGCACACCCUAUAUGUGCUACCUUAGAAUAAAUUAAAUAUAUUAAGUAUAUUAGUAUAUAUUUAAUAUAUAUUAUGUUAAGUAUAUUAGCUAUAUUAAUAUAGUUAAUUUUAUAUUAAGCAGUUUGAUUUUCAUAUAGUUUCUAUAUCUGUGUGAUUCAGUAUGAACAAGGUCACAAUUUAAUUUGGACGUGGAGCUCACAUUUUGCUAUUUCAUCACAAAUAAAAACAAUGUUUCUUCUGCUAUCCUCAUCCUCCAUCUGUCUUCCUUCCUCUUGCACAUUUCCUUAGUAAAACCACACACUCCCUCUUAAAUAGAGCUUCACCUCACAGACAGUAAAUCUCUGGUUUUUAGAGCCCACACAGAGCAACACAUGUGUAGGACAGAAAUGUUGGGGGUGAAUUGGCCCCCAGGGAAUGAUGCUGUAAUGUCACAUUCCAUAUUUAAGGAUAAAUUGACCAUGUAUGAAUGAAACUGCAGUGCUCUGAGUGCCACCAAGUGGUCUCUUUAUUGUUAGCUUGAUUACACAGAAAAUAUAAUGCCAUCAGUUUCAUUUUCAGUUUUAUGCAUCGAGCAUCCUGAGGUGAGCAAAUCGCUAUUAGUGCAGACAUUGUUGCAAUAUAUAAAUAGCCGUAAAAAGCAAAUAACAUUUAUUAUGAAUUGAUGCUAUAUAGAUAAAAUGAAGUUAGUAGUUGUGUGAAUUCUGUAGCAGUGGUUUAAAUGUGAUUUUUUGAAAAAUGUAAGAGCUGCUGCUCUCAUGCUGCUACUGCAAUAAAUUAAAUCAAACAAAAGAAGCAACAGGUGUGCUAUUCUUGAAAAACUUAACCAUUAAGAAACAUUAGGUAAGAAAAAAAUAAUUUAAAUGAUAGAAAGUGUUAAGAGCAUUUCCAAAACAGAGCAUGAAACACUUGCUAGAGUAAAAUCUUUGGUUCUAUGAUUACAAUUUGCUUAGCUUGUCAUCAGUCUCUUCAUAUUUUUUUCUAUUUAGAGUUCACAGUGUGUUUGCUGGAAACAACUUUUGAUAUGUCUUUAUAAUCAGAACUUAGUUCAUGCAUGAAAGAUUUAAAUUCAUUAAGGAUGAACUUAGAUUUUAAUCAAGUAGUUGCAUCAACUGUUGUUUGAAGACAACUAUUAAUAUACUGCAAUUAAUUAAGAUUUUUGCUUGUUCUAAUAAUUAAUCAUCAUUUGUUUACUGUGAAUAUUUGAGCAUUACGUUAUUUAAGAUAUGCAUCUGGAAGAUCGUUUAAAAGCAAAUCCACUCAAGUCACAGGAGUGUAUUAUGCUGCCAGUGGUGUUCAUUCCUGUAAAGUCAAGACUGUAAUCCACUCCUGUCACCCACAGGCUGUUACUGUUUCCUCCACACAUUUCAACAGACUCAGCUGCAUUCAACAGUCCCCAGAGGCCAAAGAAGAGGAAACCACAGGAGAGUAAGAUAAUGAGAAGGAAAGAAAAGUGAAAGGAGCAGAAUAAGAUGCAUUAGCCCAACAAAGCGCCCACACAGAGACUCAUUUGUUACUCCGAGGAGAGAAGAGACAGCUGAACGCGUCAGUUAAGGUGCUAAUCUUUGGGCAAAACUAGGACUUUUACCUAGAUAAGGUUUGUUUAUAAGAAGCUUUCUGUUUACUCUAGGUGGAGACAUUUAGUUGGACAAAGAGUUGAUUCCUUAGUAGUAAUUCGAGAUAGCACUGAGAGUGAGAAUCUGGAAGUCUUAAACUUUUUCUGAACUUUAAGGUUACAAUGUCUGAAAUUUUCUAAUGCAAACAAUGUUUAGCAUCAUCAGCUAGUUUUUGUUUUGUCACAGCACUUUUGGUGAAAUUUAACAAUUAUAUCUCUGAACACUGUUUCACUGUAAAAUGUUAAAGACCAAAUUGCUUUUUUUAUGAGUGGGAGGUUUCUGUCAGGUCUUUUUGUGGGUUAUGGAAACAGUACAACGUUCAAAAACCUGGAACAUUUCCGUGGUGAGUUCUAUUUAAAUACGAUGAAAGGUGUUUUCCCAAAACUGAUGGCAGUUUUUAAUCUUAUGAUAAACAAUACAUUAAAAUUGACAAAGAUAAGAAAAUGAAUAAUUAGAGGUAAAGUAAAGUAUUGAAAACAGAAAGUAAACUCUUUGGAGACGUUAGCCUAGAGGGCCCUUGAAAUUGAUUUGUUUAAAAUCUAUUUCUAUUUUAUCAAUUUUACAUAUUUUUAUGCAUAGCCACACUGCUUAUAGAGAUUAAAAAAAUAAUGUUUGACACAUCUUCGUUACAUACGUUGCCCUGACAUUGUGGUUACUUACUUGUAUCAAUAAUAAACUUGCUAAUUUUCUCAAAACUCACCAUCAAAAUCAACAUUAAUUAAUUAAUUUCUCAUUGUAAUAAGUUCUAAUUUAAUGUGAUUCCACUUACAACCGCUAGGGGGCGCGUGUCCGCUAGUGGCAUAGAGACAGGUGGGCACACAGAAGAAGAAUAAACCUUCCUGUUAGAUGCUAAUGGAAGCUCAACGUGUGUCUCAUCUUUUCUAUAUCACAGGAAUGCUUUGUUGGGAACUGAGAUAAAAGAAACAAAAGAUGCCAUUCACAGAAACAACUUUGUGUGAGAGGUAAAACAAUUACACGCAUUAGUCCUUUUUUCUUUUGCAUAUGUUAUGUUACAGUAUGAAUGUCUUUUCUUGCAGAAAUAUUUUUGUUUUAGUCAGAUUGAAGGUGUUUUUACCUCGAUUCUGAGGUGGAAAAUCACCCAUUUUUGUUUUGGGAUUUGUGUAGGACGUGGUUGAAGGUUAAUGUGAGGAAUUUUUAAAGAUGUAUGCAUGAAAGAUAGAGUGAGAGAACAUUAUAGAGGAAAAGAAAGAGUAAAAAGAUCUGUGACAAAAGCCCUCAUUAAUAUUCUGAGCUGAGAAGUAAUCCUCCUCCUUCUCCUCUCUUUUUCUCCCCCCUUCUCGCUUUUGGAUGCACUCACACACCCUGGCACGUUUUCUUUCAUUUCCACAACAGCUUGUUUUCCUCUCACCUUUACUUUCCUUGACUCACGUGAACUCUGCAUUACAAGAGCUUCAUAAUUUAUCAAAUUCUCUCCAAUUUAAAACUUUUCAAAAUAAAUAUUAAGCACCUUUCCAUCCCUUUUAGAUGUACACCCUCCCACUUCCUGUGAAUCACGUGCAAAACAUCAUGUGGAGCGAGAAACAUAAGCAGUGAGAACACCAAUAAACAUGUUUAUAAUGUGGCUGCAGAUAUUAAAUUCACACCGGAUGUAGGUUACAACCAAAGUACUGUACACAUACUCAGAGAUCGAAACAAAUUAGUUGCUAAAUGAGACAGACAUUAAGUACUGAGUAAACAUGCUUCUUAUCUGUGCAAAUUAAUAACUCUUUUAGAGCUAUAAAGAGGUUAUUCAUCACCAAGGCAACACUCCAUUAUCAUUUUACAUUCAGUAGAAGCAAAAAAACCAUCUAAAAUCUUUGCUACAUUAUUGUUGCAAAACAUACUGAUGGCUUUGACUACAGAUACCUAAUCUUCUAAUUAUUACUGUGAACACAAGUUGGAGCUUUAAUCAGAAAAGAAACGACAUAAUUUCAUUAUAAAUCAGACAAUCAAAGGAUCUUUAGAAACGGACUAACAAAAAUAAUAGAAGAGCAAAGAACCACCUGCAGAGAGCUUCAGAAAAAACCUGGAAUUACAAGGAUUUAAUGAAUGCUCUCUGCGUAAGACUCCACUGCUGAAGAAAAAGAAUUUUGAAAAUAAUUCAAAGUUUGCUUCAGAAUAUUUUGACAAGCCAAUGAAAUGCUGGUAGAAAAUGUAAUAAAUUAACUGUUUGGAUUCCACUGAUAGGACCCGAUUGGAUCAGAAAUGCUCCUGCAUAUCACCCCAAAAACCUGGAUCCCAACAGUCUGAAGAUGGGAAAAUAAUGAUGCAGAGCAGCUUUGAUGUUGUUAUAAUGUAGAAUGGUUGAAUGUAGAAAUGUACCGGAACAAGAUGAUUUUUGUGUCAUUAAGACAAUGACCCCAAAAACACAAUCAAUGAAACUUUCUACUGGGUUUAGAGAAAGAAAACACGGUUGCUAUAAUGAGCCGGUCAGUCACCAGAGUUAAAUCCAGCUGAAAAUUUAUAAAAAGUACUAAAGAUCAGAUUCUAUAGAAGAUAUUUGCUGAAUCUUUAAACAUUUUGGUUAAAAAUCGCACCAGAACUACUCUAUUCAUUUGUUUUGUCAUCAACAAAAGUUUCUCCAUGAAGUCUUUAAUCAAUUUUAGCAAGUGCAAAAAGUGAUUAAGUUUAGCUGUUAUGUUGUGAGUUUCAACUACGUUUCUCAAUUUUUAAAGAAAGUUUUGUUUUUGGUGUAGAUUUAUCUUUGAAAUGUUUAUUUAUUUAUCUAUUUUGGUGUCUAAUGGUUCUGAUGUGUUUUAUGUGAAAGUUUCUUCCCACAGUUUCUUAUUCCAAGCUGCCGAUUCUCUGAACCCGAAUACAGUGGAGGAACAUUUUCAACUUGGCUCAGUUCACUGCGUAGUGCUGAAACCAAAGCAUGAGCUUUGGACAAUUCAGCCAUUGUAAAGAAAACAGUGUCUAUUUUCUGUUUUGUUAUCCAAUUUGCUCUUUAUAAUCCCACUUAUUGUCCUGUUUUUGCGUAAAAUUCCUGCAAAAACAUAUGAAUUCUAAAAAUGUGGCAAUAUUACCACUUUUUAUAAAAUAUCAAAUAAAUUCAGAUUCAGCUUCAUAAUGUUUUAAAUUACACAAACAGAAUUUAUUUAAAUAUGUGUGUACAGAGUAUAGUAACAAUAUUAAAAUACUCUAAUAGAAUCAAAUAAAAAAAAUGAAGGCAAAAUGAGCAAGUUAGAUUUUGAGGGAAUAUUAUCACCUGCAAAAAAUGAGAAUCACAUCAGUUUGAUUUCUCCACCCACUCUUGAUUUAUUCCUUCAGUUUUAUUUGCGCUAUGCUGAUAAAUGAAUUUUCUUACCUUCUCAGAGCAGACUGUAAGCUAAUUGUCACGUGCAGAGAGGAUUUUGGAGCCCAGAGCCUCAGCCUUUUGCUCUACAUGUCUUCUCUGUUGUCGUACGCAUGCUCACAGAACACACUGUAAUUCUGCAGCCUGCGUCCCACGAUACUGUACACCACUUGAGCACAAUUAUGGGGCCCCUCAUUGGCUCGUUUGGGCUCCCGUUUUGGACCCGAAGCCCGCCGUCUCGCUGCCCGCAAUUUCUUCCCAAAGUGGCAGGACUUGGCUUUUAUAAAAGGUCUCCCUCUCUCGGUUUCCCUCUUUCCCUUCGAGUCCCUCUCUCCCUCACCCUGAAUUCCUGUUGUGUACGGAUUAUGUCCCGUGUAAUUGCUGCAAUAACUGAUCAUCGUUCCCUGGUGGGCCAAUUCACCCCCAACAUAUCAAAUGUACUGUACUGCCCAUUCAUAUUGUACAUCAUUGUCAGGGAAGAAUGGGUUUGAAUCUGCAUCUGUGGACUUAAUUUGCAUGUUAUGGGAAUUCAUAUAAUUAUAUUUCACUUUAAAAGUGUUAGAAUGUUUGUUUUAAACUCCCUGCACACAUGCAAAGAAGCACAUGUUUUGGAUGUUCCAUGUGCACAGGCCAACACACCCCCCCCCAACAAAAAAAACCCUGCACACACACACUUCCGCUCAUGCACAAAAAUGGAACCACAAAACCCCUUUUAGGCAACCCACAGAGCCCCUAUUCACCCUUUCUGUGACCGGCGUUUACUGUGUCCAAGAGCAUCUGUACGGAGCGUCCUGUGAGGCUCCAGCACAUAAAGGAGGGACAGCCGUGAGGUGAAUACAAGUCCUCCUCCUGCACCAAGACAGGGUGACAAAGCACUAUUUCAAAGAAAAGAGGGGAGCAGAUGAGGACCACCGGCCAAAUGAAGGGCUUCUGUGACACUGCAUGGUUCAAAGUGCAGGAUAAGCAUGCUUUAGCUCCACAUGCUGUAUCAUUAGACCACUCUGAACCUACAGUACUCUGGGGUGGUUUUACCAAAAAGUGCAGGAAGUGGAAAGAGUUUCAUUUCUCAUGGUAAACCAUUUAUAGAAGACGUUUCAUUUCUAUACUGCUCAGACACUCAACGAGGGAUUCAAGUGAUAGACCAACAAAAUGUAAUUCAUAGCUGAGGAUUAGAAGGAAGGUGAUAAAUGGAUUUCAACAUUUUUAAUCAAUAGAAUCUGAACAUAAUGAUUUGCACAAAUGCAUUUCUUUCUAAACCUUGUGGAGUCAAUACUUUGCAGACGCACAAUUAGAUUGUGACAAAAAUGGAGUUUCCGAGCAUCAUUUAUAAAGUCUUGCAGCAGAUUCCCAGAUGGAUUUAGCAAGGACUUUGACUGGGCCACUUUGACUUAAACCAUUUCAUUUUUGAUUUGGUUUAGAAUUAUUGCCUUGAUGGAAACUGAACCACUGACACACCUUGUGUAGAUUUCCUCCAGAGUUAUCCUGUGUUUCACCCCAUCCAUGUGCAGCAUGAUGCUGCCACCACCAUGCUUUGCUGUGGUGAUGAUGUGUUCACACUGAUUUGUGAUUCCUGGUCAACCUAUUUUCAGGUUGACCAGGAAUUGUUAUUUCACUGAACUCUUUCUUCCACAUAUUUGCUGUUUCCCUGCUUUACUUGCAGGCUUUUAUUUUGAAAUAACGUCCUUCUUGCCGCUCUUCAUUUAAGGCCAGAUUUGGGUAGAGAAUGUCUAAUUGUUUUCCUGUUAACAGACUUUCCAACCUGACUGGGGGAUUUCCGCAGCUUGUUGAGAUUUACCACAAGUCUUACUCGUGGUCCUGAGGCCCACUAUCCUGCAUGUUUUAGGUGUUUUCCUGCCUCACACCCAAAUGAGUGAGUGAUUAAUAUUCUUCUGAAGUACUUGAUAUCAUGCUGAGGAAGCAAUACAAUCAUUUUAAUCAGAUGUGUUGGAGCAGUGACACUUCUACAACAGGAAUGAUUCAGGAUUCCUGAGGAUCAAGGUUAAUAAACACUGUUAGAAGCAUUUAGUUUCUUCUCUGAUACAGGUUUAUAGUCAUGCUGUACUCUUCCUAUUUUCAGAUGAUGACUUAAACAAAGCAUUCUGAAAGGCUUACAAAGCUUGUUAUAGUGCUUUAUUAUGGACACGUUUUACUGCCAGAGCUUGGAAAUAAAUUCGGGAGCAGUUUCUCGAGAUGCAAAACCUGUUAAAACAAGAAAACAUCCUUUUUUAAAUCUCAUUAAAACCAAAAUAUCUUCUCAUUUAAAUACGAAAGUUGUAACAGUAAAGCAGCAACACCUCUGAGAAGACAAAGAAAGCUAUCACAGGAACGUAUUUUUAUAUCUUGUUGUAACAAGCAACUUUCUCGUUAUAAUGUUUUGACAAGAUUUUUAUCUUGUCUUAAAAUUUCUCCUUACAACAAGAUACUACUCCUGAAUUAAACAUUUUUGUACUUUAUAGCCUUUAUUUUUCUCCCUGACUUGUCUGCUGUGUUCGUUGGUCUUCAUGAUGCUGUUUGUUCACUAAGUUUCUCUAAUAAACCUCUAAUAUAUGUCCUAGUUCUCUAGGACAUAUACUAAAAUUGGAACGAUACAGAGAAGAUUAGCAUGGCCCCUGCGCAAGGAUGACACGCAAAUUCGUGAAGCGUUUCUCAUUUUUGGGG